rfam:Candidatus Zambryskibacteria bacterium RIFCSPLOWO2_12_FTLL_39_23 rifcsplowo2_12_scaffold_45404, whole genome shotgun sequence.
AUUUUCUAUCAGACGCCGAACUCCAUUAUUUGUUUUUAAAAUAAAUAAUGGAUGAUGAUAUAGUCCAAUCCUCGUAGUGAUAUGAGAAUAAAUUGGCCAGCAGCAGCGGUAAUACGAGUGCCCCGAGCGUUAUCCGGAAUCAUUGGGCGUAAAGGGUGUGUAGGUGGCAGUGUUAGUCAAUUGUUAAAACCCGAGGCUUAACCUCGGAAGUGCGAUUGAAACGGCACAGCUAGAGGAUGGCAGGGAUGAAUGGAACUCAUGGAGUAGGGGUGAAAUCCGUUGAUAUCAUGGGGAACACCAAAAGCGAAGGCAGUUCAUUGGGCCACUCCUGACACUGAAACACGAAAGCGUGGGUAGCGAAUGGGAUCGAUCUGGUCCCUUCCGACGGUGACGUCGGAAUGAGAAUUUGGCUGUAUGCUGGAAUACCUGUGUAUCUCAGACUACUUAUUUAGUAUAAUUAUUAAGUAAGUGAAAAUGUUUUGAGUGCAGGCAAUCAGCAGGGAAGUCAUCAAGCACUAAUUUUUGGAAAAAGAAUAAGAGGUUGUGUCGGAACGACACAACCUCUCGAGAACCGCCUGGCCUAAAGCUUCAUAAUCGCGAGUCGCGCGAUACGUCGCUCCAAAGCAUCCGCCAGGCUACCUUUUGGGAGAAUUCUCAUCGUAGGGAAGUCCAGCCUGUUUCAUCAGGACAGCUUUCUCUUGCGGUGUGAGACCCUUUCCUUCCAAGGACUCGGCAAAAUUCUUUGUGUCUGUCAUGGUCACCUCCGACUAACAGAACAACAUAGACUACUAUUAUUGUCAAGUAUUAUCUUGACUCCAAAAAUUAGUGCUUGAUUGACCCCUCAGAGACUAAACGCCGAAUAUCUUAAUGAACAAAACUACUGCAACAUUACUUGGACUUAUUUUUACCGACGGUUGUUUGUCGCCGAAAGGCAGAAACAGCUGGCGAUUCUACUUCUCCAAUAAAUCACAGCGACUUGUUUCGAUUUUCAAAGAGUCUAUAAUGCAAGAAUUUGCAUUACCAGAAAAUCGUGUCCGUUUGGACAUGACUUCUGACGGACUCCAUCGAGCGAUCGUUGAUUCAAAAGAAGCAGGUCAAUUAUUUACUGAAAAGUUUGGAACAUUCCGAACACUUCGGUAUAAAAAUGGCGAGCUUCCUAAAACUAAGUUACCAAUUGAAGAACUUAUUCGACAUAACGUCGUAAAAGAAUUCUUGCAAUCAGCAUUUAGUUGUGAUGGUGGAGUGAGUUUGUAUGUAGCACGGAGAAAGACUAAAAAAGAUGAAGCUAAAUGGCUGAUUCGUGGAGUCUAUCUCGCUUGUGCUCAUCCAAAGCUCAGAAAAGAAUAUAUCACUCUCCUCCAAUCACUAGGUAUUACAGCCUGUGAUGCAGGGGAUGGUAAAGUAAAAAUAAGAGACAAAGAAAAUAUGAAAAAGUUUUAUCAAAAAGUCGGAUUUAUUGAUGGUGUGCAUAUUACGCACACAUCACGAUUCUGGCCGAACAUUGAAAAACAAAAACUUCUGGAAAAAAUGAUAGAUUCCUACCAUAAUCCAAAAGAAACAUAUUCGUUGCGACAGUUUACAUUAAGAUAAUGAUAUAGUCCGACCUCUAUGGCGACAUAGAGAUCCAUCUGUAAUACUGGGUACAGUGGUCUUCGAAAGAAGUAACACGUAUGUAGAUACCCCAGUAGUCCACGCCCUAAACUUUCCGAGCUGGUUUUUCGGAGUAUCGACCCUCUGAGAGACGAAGCUAACGCGUUAAGCUCGGCGCCUGGGUAGUACGACCGCAAGGUUAAAACUCAAAGGAAUAGACGGGGACUUGCACAAGCAGUGGAUUAUGUGGUUUAAUUCGAUGAUAAACGAAGAACCUUACCAAGAUUUGAAACCUAGCUGAAGACGAGCAGAAACGUUCGUCGUCCCACAAGGACAGUUAGGCAGGUGAUGCAUGGCCGUCGUCAGUUCGUGAUUUGAACAUUCGGAUCCUUCUCGAGAAAUCGAGAUGAAAAAACUAGCUCAUAACGGUGGAACUCGGUAUGUUGUAUGUUAAAAUACUACAUAUGAGUAAUACCGUGGGAAGUUUGGAAAUUCCAAAUGUACUUUAUGCUCGUAAACGCAUGUUUCUCGCUAUCUCUGAUCGUCAAAGAGAGAUUCUUAUUGGUUGUAUACUAGGCGACGCCUAUGUUACUCCAAAAGGGAAAAUUGUUAUAGAACAAUCAGAAAAACAAAAAGAGUAUGUGAAAUGGAAGCACAGAGAAUUAAGUUCUCUAUGUUAUCCAAAAGGGCCUAGAGUCCUUGUCCAUAAACUCAAAACAACAAAUAAAGAAUAUCGUUCGAUAUUCUUCCAUCUCCGACAAUAUUUUAGACCAUGGAGAGAGAUAUUUUAUAAUGGAAAGCAAAAAAUAUUUCCAAAAGAAAUAAUUUUGACCCCAUUAACUCUCGCGGUUUGGUAUAUGGAUGAUGAUUGUUGGACAGGCAAGAAGUGUGUGAUAUCUAUCGAAAGUUUUAAAGGAGAAAGUUGUAAAAAUAUUCAAGAAUCGCUUUUUAAGCAGUUCGGAAUUUAUACAACUAUUGGGAAAAAUGGAAAAUUGACUAUACGAAAAAGAUCGCAAGUCAUUUUCUAUGCUUUGAUUACUCCUUAUAUUCUUUCAAGUAUGAAAUACAAAAUUCCAAACCCUGUAACGACUGGAUCCAGAUUUGUAAAAAUAAAUCUGGUGAAGAUAGAAGAUGCCGUAGUACAUUAAACUACGAACAGCACUUCUAUAACACGCUAGCUCCUCUCUUAUAUAGAAAUAAGAAGGAUGAAGGUAUAGUCUGACUUCUUAAGUAAUUUAGAAGAUGCAAGGAAUUGUUCCCUUAAGUGGGGUAACGAACGCAACCCUUGUUGUCUGUUACACGUAUCAGGCGAGACUGCCCAGCUUAAAGCGCGUGAGCGCGCUUCAAGUCGAAAGUUAAAAGUCUAUAAAGUCUAUAAAGUGAAUGCGAAUUCGUAUUUACUUUUGACUUUAAGGACUUUAUAGACUUUAUGGACUUGAAGCGAACUUCGUUCGCUUCAAGCUGGGAGGAAGGCGAGGAUGACGCCAGGUCAGCAUGUCCCUUUGAUAUCUUGGGCUACACACAUAAUACAAUGGCGACUACAACGCGUUGCGACGCCGUAAGGCUGAGCCAAUCGUAAGAAAAGUCGCCCCAGUUCAGAUUGGGGGCUGAAACUCGACCCCAUGAAGUUGGAAUUGCUAGUAAUCGCGGGUCAGCUAUACCGCGGUGAAUACGUUCUCAAGUCUUGUACUCACAAAUAAAUGCGCCCGGCAGCGCAUAGUUCUAAGUGGUUAAAGUCCAUUCCUUUCCU